AAAUGUCGCCAAGGACAUCCUUGCCCUGUUCUCGUUUGCCAUGGUUCUGUGCUCGAUGCUAUUAUACUUGCCGUUGCUCCACAUCUGUUACCACAAUCAAGCAGGCCAGGCUCCAAAUCAUUUUGUAAGAUUUUAACGCUUGUUUACGGAAAAAACCCUCUCCAUGCUGGGUUUUGAAGAGCCAGACAAUGAUUGGGUCUUAAAUCCCUCCACUUGCUCUUCCUCUCUAUCACAAUAUGGAAAGAGAAAGAAAGGAAGGAGGCUUAGGUAGGCUUUUCUUUUUUGCCUGGUUAUUAGUUAUAAAUGAAAUCUUUGAGAUGAUGGAAUUUUUUUAUAUUUACCUCUAUAACAUCUCCAAUAUUCACGACCAGGGAAUUUAGGAUCGGAUGAACAGGCACCCAUCCUCCAUCAUGCUGGAUUUCUAAGCCAGUAACAUCAUCAUCUUGCAGGAGUAUGGAUAUGGAGGUCGCAUCAGAAUGUGGGCUUAUACCGAUUACUUGGUCAGGGUUGCGACAUGUAGGAUAGUAAUUCACAC
rnacentral:lncRNA from 1 species